GUCUUUUUGGUCUUAUUAUGAAGAGUUGGGCCUGCCCAGUGAUUCGUAAUUUAACGGCCGCGGUAACUUGACCGUGCGAAGGUAGCAUAAUCAUUAGAUCUUUAAUUGGGGUCUGGAAUGAAGGGUUUGACGUGUAAGAGCUUUCUUAAAGUUAAUUGGUUGAAUUUUAGAUUCUUGUGAAGACGCUAGAAUUUUUUUAUUAGACGAGAAGACCCUAUCAAGUUUUACUUUUAUUUUCUUUGGUUUUGUUAUGUCUGUAAGGAAAGUGUGAGUUUUGCUGGGGCGGUUAAUUUAUAUGUAACAAAAUAUAGAAAAGAUUAAGACGCUUUGUGUGAAAUUUUUUGAUCCAGAUUUUUUGAUAAAUGGGAAAAAUUACUGUAGGGAUAACAGCGUAAUUGUAUUGGAGAGUUCAUAUUGAUAAUGCAGGUUGCGACCUCGAUGUUGGAUUAAGAAACCCUUUGGUUGAAGGAGGCCAGGCUAUGGGCAGUCUGUUCGACUGUUAAAUUCUUACA
rnacentral:rRNA from 1 species